rnacentral:rRNA from 1 species
CCCUUAGAUGUUCUGGGCCGCACGCGCGCUACACUGAUGCAUUCAACGAGUGUACCUUGGCCGAGAGGCCUGGGCAAUCUUUUGAACGUGCAUCGUGAUAGGGAUAGAUUAUUGCAAUUAUUAAUCUUGAACGAGGAAUUCCUAGUAAACGCAGUUCAUCAAACUGCAUUGAUUACGUCCCUGCCCUUUGUACACACCGCCCGUCGCGCCUACCGAUUGGAUGGUCCGGUGAAGCCUCGGGAUUGUGGCGGUUGCCUUUAUUGGUGGCCGCCGCGAGAACUUGUCUAAACCUUAUCAUCUAGAGGAAGGUGAAGUCGUAACA